GGAAGAGAAGAGGAGAGGAAAGAGAAAGAGGAGCGAAUAGGUAAGUUCCUCUUCUUUCCCGACCAAGAUUUUACAAUCUCCACGACCAAAGACCAACGUACUGCGGAGAUUGAAAGCCUCGCUGCGGAGAACAUUAACGAUGGCUACUUCUUGCCUAAGCUUCCGGGAGAUGAGCCGGAUUUCUGGGAAGGUGAACAGUGGGACGGUCUUGGGUUCUUCGUGGAGUACUUGUGGGCUUUUGGUUUUGGCUUUGCGCUUAUUGCAGCAAUUGCAGCUGUUGCUACAUUCAAUGUAGGGGCAACUGAUUUCAAGGAGACUCCUACUUACAAAGAUGCGAUCUAGUCCCUCGAGUUGCUAGAAGAACCAGAGGGAUCAAGCCCUGAUGCCUAAUCAUCACCCUCAGAGGCGUAUACGUACAACUCGGAUAAUAAGAAAACAUAGAUGAAACUAAUCAUCACCCUCAGAGGCGCUGAACCAGACGCUUUGCUUUCUUCACAUUGUAAAACAUGGCAAUGCCUUCUUAACCUCUGCAAUAAAAACCUACAUUUCUUUUCUAAUACGAAUGGCAUUCUUCCUCCAGUGAUCAUUAUCC